GACGAACGCUGGCGGCGUGCUUAACACAUGCAAGUCGAACGGAAAGGCCCUGCUUUUGUGGGGUGCUCGAGUGGCGAACGGGUGAGUAACACGUGAGUAACCUGCCCUUGACUUUGGGAUAACUUCAGGAAACUGGGGCUAAUACCGGAUAGGAGCUCCUGCUGCAUGGUGGGGGUUGGAAAGUUUCGGCGGUUGGGGAUGGACUCGCGGCUUAUCAGCUUGUUGGUGGGGUAGUGGCUUACCAAGGCUUUGACGGGUAGCCGGCCUGAGAGGGUGAACGGCCACAUGGGGACUGAGAGACGGCCCAGACUCCAAUGGGAGGCAGCAGGGGGGAGUAUUGCGCAAUGGGCGGAAGCCUGAUGCAGCAACGCCGCGUGCGGGAUGACGGCUUUCGGGUUGUAAACCGCUUUCGCCUGUGACGAAGCGUGAGUGACGGUAAUGGGUAAAGAAGCACCGGCUAACUACGUG
rnacentral:rRNA from 1 species